rnacentral:rRNA from 1 species
GAUGAACGCUGGCGGCGUGCCUAAUACAUGCAAGUCGAGCGAACAGACGAGGAGCUUGCUCCUUUGACGUUAGCGGCGGAAGGGUGAGUAACACGUGGGUAACCUACCUAUAAGACUGGGAUAACUUCGGGAAACCGGAGCUAAUACCGGAUAAUAUUUCGAACCGCAUGGUUCGAUAGUGAAAGAUGGCUUUGCUAUCACUUAUAGAUGGACCUGCGCCGUAUUAGCUAGUUGGUAAGGUAACGGCUUACCAAGGCAACGAUACGUAGCCGACCUGAGAGGGUGAUCGGCCACACUGGAACUGAGACACGGUCCAGACUCCUACGGGAGGCAGCAGUAGGGAAUCUUCCGCAAUGGGCGAAAGCCUGACGGAGCAACGCCGCGUGAGUGAUGAAGGUCUUCGGAUCGUAAAACUCUGUUAUUAGGGAAGAACAAACGUGUAAGUAACUGUGCACGUCUUGACGGUACCUAAUCAGAAAGCCACGGCUAACUACGUG